rnacentral:rRNA from 1 species
GACGAACGCUGGCGGCGUGCCUAACACAUGCAAGUCGAGCGAGGAGAGUUCCUUUGGGAACAAACCUAGCGGCGGACGGGUGAGUAACACGUGGGCAACCUGCCUUGUAGAGGGAAUAGCCUUCCGAAAAGGAAGAUUAAUACCGCAUAAUAUUACAGUUUCGCAUGAAACAGUAAUUAAAGGAGCAAUCCGCUACAAGAUGGGCCCGCGGCGCAUUAGCUAGUUGGUGAGGUAACGGCUCACCAAGGCGACGAUGCGUAGCCGACCUGAGAGGGUGAUCGGCCACAUUGGGACUGAGACACGGCCCAGACUCCUACGGGAGGCAGCAGUGGGGAAUAUUGCACAAUGGGGGAAACCCUGAUGCAGCAACGCCGCGUGAGUGAUGAAGGUUUUCGGAUCGUAAAGCUCUGUCUUCGGGGACGAUAAUGACGGUACCCGAGGAGGAAGCCACGGCUAACUACGUG